UGAUGAUUGUAGUGUAAGAAAUUUUUAUAAUUUUUUAUUAAACAUUGAGAUUAUGUAUGAAAGGAUCACAAGAGAUUAUAACAUAUAGAGUUUGAAAUAUGAUGGAUGAUCUAUGGAUUAUGAUAUGAUUAGUUAGAUUUUGAUCGAAAGUAAUUACAAAAAGAUUGACAUAAAAUUUUAUUGUGCAUUAUGGUUAUUAAUUUGAUCAUCGAUUAUUCAAGUGAAUCGUAAGUUCAAAUUUGAUGUGAGAAUAAUACUUUGAUAUUACUUCUAGUUGAGAAGUUGACUAUUAUUGGCAAGAUAAAGAUUUGGUGAUAACAUAUUAUUCUAGAAUGGACUAAAAAAGUCUUUUAUGAUGUUUGAUUGGAAUAUUUAUCAAAAUUGAACUUGGUAUGUGGAUCAUAUAUAAAGUGGCAUAUUAGGAUGAAUGCAUAUUUAAGGAUAUUGCAAAGAAGCCUAUUUCUUAUUGAUGAAAUCGAUUAUGAGAUUGUAAGAUAUUCAUUGUGCUGGAAUCUUUAAUUAUCAUCCUUAGAUCUAAAUAAUAGAUCUUAUUUGUGUCUUUUGGAGACUACAUGAUGUGUAUGAAAUUUUAAUUUAAAGAUUUCAU
rnacentral:lncRNA from 1 species